AGGUCAAACGAGAUCACGCAUGUGAACCGCUUAGCACGCGCAUGGCACACCGGAAUCAGAAGAAAAGGUAGGGACGUUUCCAGAGCUGGCAAUGAGCGAGAACUGCGACAGGAAGCAGCUAUGGACCGGCGCACCACAGAGCUUCCCUGAGUGCCAACCGCCGUCACCUGCGGCCACGCCCACUGCAACUCCGAGGCGUUAUCGAAGCCCACGAUUGUUCCCUUUACAUAAUUAGUUUUCUUCUUCGCCGCUGAAUUACAGGGCCGUGAGAAGCUCGUCUGCUCCACUCAUUAUUGUGUCCUCACGUCUGAGAACAGAGCCCGGGACACACAAGCAGUGCUCGAGACCUCUGACCCCUGAGCCGGGGGAAACGGGGUCUUGUGCCGUCUCUUCUGAUAACUGCACCGACCCCAGCAUGAGGCUCCACAGUUGUUCAGACCUCAUCUAAAUCUCUUUGUGUCCCGGAGGUCCCGCCUCCAGACAGCACCACAGAGGGCUUGAGGCUUCCAGCACAGUUCGGUCUGCAGCACAUGCUUUUCCCUCGACGACUGCAUGUCAUGAAGUAGGUGGUUUUCACUACGAUAAUAUCCUGCCUCACCACACACCCAAAGGCAACAGGACCAAGCAAUUAUGAACUGAACUCUGAGUCAAAAUGAACGGAUUUGUAGAUUCAUUAUCUUUUCUUUUAUAAACCGAUUGUGUCAGGUAUCCGGUACGGUACCCACACCCAGAGAGGCCCCAGUCACUCAGCAAACCCGUGCUCAGCCUGGGCCUCCCAACCAGAGCUCCUGCCUGCAGUUCCCACACCGCGUAAGACCCAUGGAGAGUCAAAGAUUAUCUUUGAA